CUAGUAAUUUUAACUACUAAUUAUUUAGUAAAUUACUAAUUGUCAUUUCAUGUUAUUUAGAACAUCACCAGUGGAAAAAAGGUGUGAAUGCACCCUCAAAGCCCCUAAGUGAGGGAGUACAUGGAUGCUGGGCAUGAUGAAGCGCAAACCUUGAUGUGCAACACCACCUUAUGAAUCUACAGUAGUUACAUUAACAUUUAGCAGACUCUUUUGUCUAAAGUGACUUACAAUUGAGGACACAUUCAGCAAAUCAACAAGAAAAGCAGAUACACCCAAGAUGUGCUAAUUAUACAAAAAAAUUUAAGAAUUAAGAAUGCUUCUACAUGGAAUUAAGAAUGCUUCUACGCGACUUGCGCGCCCAGUUGUCCAGCCAAUCUAAGUUUUUGCCUUCUCCUCGGAAGGACCCCCGUCUAACGCUGUAGUCCAGCAGCAGCUCCUCCCCCAUGGAGAUGUCCCGAAGGGCGCGGAAUAGAACGCACUCCCGUGGCCCCUGUGGCAGCGUU
rnacentral:lncRNA from 1 species